GAGGAAAGUCCGGGCUCCAUAGGGCAGGGUGCCAGGUAACGCCUGGGGGGAAACCCACGACCAGUGCAACAGAGAGCAAACCGCCGAUGGCCCAGUAAUGGGAUCAGGUAAGGGUGAAAGGGUGCGGUAAGAGCGCACCGCGCGGCUGGUAACAGUCCGUGGCACGGUAAACUCCACCCGGAGCAAGGCCAAAUAGGGGUUCACAUGGUACGGCCCGUACUGAACCCGGGUAGGCUGCUUGAGCCAGUGAGCGAUUGCUGGCCUAGAUGAAUGACUGUCCACGACAGAACCCGGCUUA
rnacentral:RNase_P_RNA from 1 species